CAUCUUCCAGUAAUUCGCCAAAAUGACAAACACAAAGGGAAAGAGGAGAGGCACUCGAUACAGGUUCUCUAGGCCUUUCAGAAAACAUGGAGUUGUUCCUUUGGCCACAUAUAUGCGAAUCUAUAAGAAAGGUGAUAUUGUGGACAUCAAGGGAAUGGGUACUGUUCCAAAAGGAAUGCCCCACAAAUGUUAUCAUGGCAAAACUGGAAGAGUUUUGUAACAUUGUAAUGUUACCCAGCAUGCUGUUGGCAUUGUUGGCAUUGUUGUAAACAAACAAGUUAAGGGCAAGAUUCUUGCCAAGAGAAUUAAUGUGCGUAUUGAGCACAUCAAGCACUCUAAGAGUCGAGAUAGCUUCCUAAAACGUGUGAAGGAAAAUGAUCAGAAAAAGAAAGAAGCCAAAGAGAAAGGUACCUGGGUCCAACUGAAGUGCCAGCCUGCUCCACUGAGAGAAGCACACUUUGUGAGGACCAAUGGGAAGGAGCCUGAGCUGCUGGAACCUAUUCCCUAUGAAUUCAUGGCAUAAUAGGUGUUAAAAAAAAAAAUAAAAGACCUCUGGACU